rnacentral:rRNA from 1 species
UACAGAGACUGCAAGCGUUAUUCGGAUUCACUGGGCGUAAAGGGUGCGCAGGCGGCCGUGCGUGUGAGGCGUGAAAGCCCGGGGCUUAACCCCGGAAUUGCACCUCAAACUACAUGGCUAGAGCAUUGGAGAGGGUAGCGGAAUUCACGGUGUAGCAGUGAAAUGCGCAGAUAUCGGGAGGAACACCAGUAGCGAAGGCGGCACUCUGGGCCGGUACUGACGCUGAGGAGCGAAAGCGUGGGGAGCAAACAGG